rnacentral:rRNA from 1 species
UACAGAGGUGGCUAGCGUUGUUCGGAAUUACUGGGCGUAAAGGGCGCGUAGGCGGCCUGGUCAGUCCCGUGUGAAAUCCCUCGGCUCAACUGAGGAACUGCACGGGAAACUGCCUGGCUUGAGUUCGGGAGAGGGAAGCGGAAUUCCGGGUGUAGCGGUGAAAUGCGUAGAUAUCAGGAGGAACACCAAUGGCGAAGGCAGCUCACUGGGACGAUACUGACGCUGAGACGCGAAAGCGUGGGGAGCAAACAGG